UAUAAUCAACUCGUGAACAGUGGCAUUUGU
rnacentral:piRNA from 1 species